CGGUGAGGUAGAGGCGCAAGCAAUAUGAGUAGCCAGCAAGAGAAUGACAACUGUGAUUGUUGGUAGAAGGAUUGUUUGCCGAAGCAUAAUAAGUGUCAACCUUAUUAUAGCUGGUACAUUUUUGAAUAAGAAAUGUACUGUCAUGCAGCAAGACGGAGUGUGCAUGGAGAACUACUGAUCGA
rnacentral:ncRNA from 2 species